rnacentral:pre_miRNA from 1 species
UGACGUCAUCAGUGAUGAUGACGGUGACGAUGCGGAUGCCGAUUACGUCAUUGGCAUCCGCAUCGCCAUCGUCAUUAUGACUGAUGACGUCAU